rnacentral:tRNA from 1 species
GCUGACGUGGCUCAGUUGGUAGAGCAACGCACUCGUAAUGCGUAGGUCGGGAGUUCGAGUCUCCCCGUCAGCACCA